rnacentral:lncRNA from 1 species
CAGUUUUUGUGCUCGACCAGUAAAAUCGAGCACACAUUUUACUCGACUAGUCUCGAAAUUGUCUCGACUAUACUUAACUGUACUUAAGUGUACUCGACUAGGUCUCGACUUUACUUAAUUAGUCUGAUUCAGUACUUGAUGAUCUUUGUGUAGUCUGAAAUGGUCUUGACCAAGGCUCGACCUGUCUUGACUAGUCUCGACCUGUC